UGCCAGCAGCCGCGGUAAUACGGAGGGGGUUAGCGUUGUUCGGAAUUACUGGGCGUAAAGCGCACGUAGGCGGAUUGGAAAGUUGGGGGUGAAAUCCCGGGGCUCAACCCCGGAACUGCCUCCAAAACUAUCAGUCUAGAGUUCGAGAGAGGUGAGUGGAAUUCCCAGUGUAGAGGUGAAAUUCGUAGAUAUUGGGAAGAACACCAGUGGCGAAGGCGGCUAACUGGCUCGGUACUGACGCUGAGAUGCGAAAGCGUGGGGAGCAAACAGGAUUAGAUA
rnacentral:rRNA from 1 species